GGCUUUAUAGUCAAUAUAAAUGAUAUUAGACUGCAAUUCUAAAGUAGUAUACAUAUACUAAAGCUU
rnacentral:tRNA from 1 species